AGUGGGGAUAGGGGAAUUAAGAGAGGCUCUCUGGGAGUGAAGAAGACAUUGCCCAAGUGUGUGUAUGUGGGCUCAAGGAAGAGUAGCAAUUAAGUGUCUUAGCAAUAGACUUAUGUAUCUUUUUAGUGACUUUCAAGAAACAUCUCAGAGGGUUGCUAAGAAACCUUUUCCUUUUUCUCUCUCUUGGUGGAGAUAUUAUAGGGUAGGUCCAGUGGUGCCUCCAGGGGAUUAUAAUCUGAUGAGAUCAAGCUGGGCGUCAUUAGGAUUGCGUUUGGGGAUUAGGAUAUCUUUUACUGUAAAGGGGGUUUCUAGCAAGAUUCUAAAGAAAUCACAGCUCUACAGCUGGGAAGGGAGAAAGGAAUUAAGUAAAUGUUGUUGACUGUAACUUUUUUUUAAAAGAAUUUAAUUUGUAGUUAUGUGUACACGUCUCUGUCUCUGUGUGUGUGUGUGUGUGUGUGUGUGUGUGUGUGUGUGCGUGCUGACACAUGAAGAAGCUGGAGGAGUCAAAUCUCAUGGAAGCUGAGGUUACAGGCACUUAAGAGCUACCCAACACGGGUGCUGUAAACUGAACUCUGGUCCUCUUCAAGAGCAGUAUGAAGUCUUAACCGCUUAAAAGCUGGGGUUACAGGCACUUAAGAGCUACCCAACAGGGGUGCUGUAAACUGAACUCUGGUCCUCUUCAAGAGCAGUAUGAAGUCUUAACCACUGGGCUGCCCCACCAGCCUCACUUUCUUUUUAUCUGAGCUAGGGUCUCCCUACGCAGUUCUGGUUCAUCUGGAACUCAUGUAGACCACAUUGCCUCUGCCUCCUGAGUGCCAUUGUGCUGGGAUUCUUUUUUAUUUUUUUUAAUUUUUUUAAAGAUUUAUUUUUUAGAUAUAAGUACACUGUAGCUGUCUUCAGACACACCAGAAGAGGGCAUCAAAUCUCAUUACAGGUGGUUGUGAGCUACCAUGUGGUUGCUGGGAUUUGAACUCAGAACCUCUGGAAGAGCAGUCAGUGCUCUUAACCACUGAGCCAUAUCUGCUAUAAAUCCCCAAGUUUCUCCCAGGCUCCUUCCCUCUUCCACGGACCCCCGUUUUUCUCCUUCUAUUCUGUCCAGUAUUGACACCAACUUUAAGUUACCAGCCUCCAGAAACCUGAGAAUUGAUCCACCUUUAAAGUGCCCAGUCUUGCAGCUGAGAGAUGGCUCAGAGCUAAACAACACGUACUACUCUAGCUGGCACCAGCCACGGCAGGCAGGGCAGUCCUGUGUAACUACAAUGCCAAAGGGAUCCAAGGUCUCUGGCCUCAUGCUGAACGAAAAAAGAAAAACAGGAAGGACACGACUGCUCCCAGUGCAUUUGACGCAGUUCCUACUCUGGCCAGCAGAUGGAAGCACAACCCACUGUUCUGAGUUAGGAUUGCCGUUUCUGGAGGUUGGAGCAAAGAGAAGCAGUGCCCCUCAGGUCUGAGCUUCACCUCGCCGCCCCCUCCCCCGCCCCCAAUCCCCAACCUGCAUUUUCGUGUGUGUGUGUGUGUGUGUGUGUGUGUGUGUGUGUGUGUGUGUGUGUGUGUGUGUGUGUGUGUGUGUGGUGUGUGUGUGUGUGUACUUGUGUGUGUGUCUGAGUGUAUGUGUUUGUGGUGUGUCAGAGAGAGAGAGAGAGAGAGAGAGAGAGAGAGAGAGAGAGAGAGAGAGAGAGAGAGAGAGAGAGAUUAAUA